GACGAACGCUGGCGGCGUGCUUAACACAUGCAAGUCGAACGGAAAGGCCCUGCUUUUGUGGGGUGCUCGAGUGGCGAACGGGUGAGUAACACGUGAGUAACCUGCCCUUGACUUUGGGAUAACUUCAGGAAACUGGGGCUAAUACCGGAUAGGAGCUCCUGCUGCAUGGCGGGGGUUGGAAAGUUUCGGCGGUUGGGGAUGGACUCGCGGCUUAUCAGCUUGUUGGUGGGGUAGUGGCUUACCAAGGCUUUGACGGGUAGCCGGCCUGAGAGGGUGACCGGCCACAUUGGGACUGAGAUACGGCCCAGACUCCUACGGGAGGCAGCAGUGGGGAAUAUUGCACAAUGGGCGGAAGCCUGAUGCAGCAACGCCGCGUGCGGGAUGACGGCCUUCGGGUUGUAAACCGCUUUCGCCUGUGACGAAGCGUGAGUGACGGUAAUGGGUAAAGAAGCACCGGCUAACUACGUGCCAGCAGCCGCGGUGAUACGUAGGGUGCGAGCGUUGUCCGGAUUUAUUGGGCGUAAAGGGCUCGUAGGUGGUUGAUCGCGUCGGAAGUGUAAUCUUGGGGCUUAACCCUGAGCGUGCUUUCGAUACGGGUUGACUUGAGGAAGGUAGGGGAGAAUGGAAUUCCUGGUGGAGCGGUGGAAUGCGCAGAUAUCAGGAGGAACACCAGUGGCGAAGGCGGUUCUCUGGGCCUUUCCUGACGCUGAGGAGCGAAAGCGUGGGGAGCGAACAGGCUUAGAUACCCUGGUAGUCCACGCUGUAAACGGUGGGUACUAGGUGUGGGGUCCAUUCCACGGGUUCCGUGCCGUAGCUAACGCUUUAAGUACCCCGCCUGGGGAGUACGGCCGCAAGGCUAAAACUCAAAGGAAUUGACGGGGCCCCGCACAAGCGGCGGAGCAUGCGGAUUAAUUCGAUGCAACGCGUAGAACCUUACCUGGGUUUGACAUGGAUCGGGAGUGCUCAGAGAUGGGUGUGCCUCUUUUGGGGUCGGUUCACAGGUGGUGCAUGGCUGUCGUCAGCUCGUGUCGUGAGAUGUUGGGUUAAGUCCCGCAACGAGCGCAACCCUUGUUCACUGUUGCCAGCACGUUAUGGUGGGGACUCAGUGGAGACCGCCGGGGUCAACUCGGGGGAAGGUGGGGAUGACGUCAAGUCAUCAUGCCCCUUAUGUCCAGGGCUUCACGCAUGCUACAAUGGCUGGUACAGAGAGUGGCGAGCCUGUGAGGGUGAGCGAAUCUCGGAAAGCCGGUCUCAGUUCGGAUUGGGGUCUGCAACUCGACCUCAUGAAGUCGGAGUCGCUAGUAAUCGCAGAUCAGCAACGCUGCGGUGAAUACGUUCCCGGGGCU
rnacentral:rRNA from 1 species